rnacentral:rRNA from 1 species
UACGGAGGGUGCAAGCGUUAUCCGGAUUUACUGGGUUUAAAGGGUCCGUAGGCGGGCCUUUAAGUCAGUGGUGAAAGCUCCGAGCUUAACUCGGAAACUGCCAUUGAUACUAUUGGUCUUGAAUUCGGUCGAGGUUGGCGGAAUGUGUCGUGUAGCGGUGAAAUGCUUAGAUAUGACACAGAACACCGAUUGCGAAGGCAGCUAGCUAGACCGACAUUGACGCUGAGGCACGAAAGCGUGGGGAUCAAACAGG